UUAAAAAGCUCGUAGUCGGAUUUCAGAAUCGAGACUUGAAUUAUUUAAAUUCUAUGUUUCUUUUCUUCAUUGGUACGAAUCUACAUCUGAUUUAUUUCCGGUGUUGCCUAGUGCCUCUUUUACUUUGAGAAAAUUAGAGUGUUCAAAGCAGGUCAUCGCCUGAAUAUUACUCUUGGAAUAAUGAUAUAGGACUUUGGUUCCAAUUUGUUGGUGUAUUAGGACCGGAGUAAUGAUUGAUAAGGACGGUUGGGGUCAUUCAUACUGCAAAGCGAGAGGUGAAAUUCUUGGACCUUUGUAUGAUGAACAACUGCGAAAGCAUUUGACUAGGACGUUCCUGUUGAUCAAGAACGAAAGUUGGGGGAUCGAAGACGAUCAGAUACCGUCGUAGUCUCAACCAUAAACUAUGCCAGCUAGGGAUUGGAAGAUGUUUAUUUAUGACUCUUUCAGCACCUUAUGAGAAAUCAAAGCAUUUGGGUUCCGGGGGGAGUAUGGUCGCAAGG
rnacentral:rRNA from 1 species